GUGUGUGUGUGUGUGUGUGUGUAUUUAGCAGUCUGUGUGUGUAUUCAGCAGUCUGCUAAAUACAGACAGGCUGCUAAGUACACACAGACAGGCUG